rnacentral:rRNA from 1 species
UACGAAGGGGGCUAGCGUUGUUCGGAAUUACUGGGCGUAAAGGGCGCGUAGGCGGCUGUGCAAGUCAGGCGUGAAAGCCCCGGGCUCAACCUGGGAACCGCGCUUGAGACUGGAGUACUAGAGUUCGGGAGAGGAUGGUGGAAUUCCCAGUGUAGAGGUGAAAUUCGUAGAUAUUGGGAAGAACACCGAUGGCGAAGGCAGCCAUCUGGACCGACACUGACGCUGAGGCGCGAAAGCGUGGGGAGCAAACAGG